rnacentral:rRNA from 1 species
GCUUAGAGUUUGAUCCUGGCUCAGGACGAACGCUGGCGGUGCGCCUUAUGCAUGCAAGUUGAGCGAAGCUUUUUGGUAGUUUACUACUAGAAAUGACUGAGCGGCGAACGGGUGAGUANCGCGUGAGCAAUCUACCUUAGUUACUGGGAUAGCCCGAGGAAACUCGGAUUAAUACCGGAUAUUNUUAUUUUUUCACAUGAAGUUUUAAGGAAAGGUCAGCCGAACUAAGAUGAGCUCGCGUUCUAUCAGCUAGUUGGUGGGGUAAAAGCCUACCAAGGCUACGUCGGAUAGCUGGUCUGAGAGGACGAUCAGCCACAUCUGGGACUGAGACACGGCCCAGACUCCUACCGGGAGGCUGCAGUACGGGAAUAUUGUGCAAUGAGCGAAAGCUUGAACACA